AACGAACGCUGGCGGCGUGCUUAAUACAUGCAAGUCGAACGAGAAAGUCCUUCGGGAUGAGUAGAGUGGCGCACGGGUGAGUAAUGCAUGGGAACGUACCUAUUGGUGGGGAAUAACCACGGGAAACUGUGGCUAAUACCGCAUGGUCUAGAAAUAGUAAAGGUGGCCUCUAUUUAUAAGCUACCGCCAAUUGAUCGGCCCAUGUCCCAUUAGCUAGUUGGUGAGGUAAAGGCUCACCAAGGCCGCGAUGGGUAGCUGGUCUGAGAGGAUGAUCAGCCACACUGGAACUGAGACACGGUCCAGACUCCUACGGGAGGCAGCAGUAGGGAAUAUUGCACAAUGGGCGCAAGCCUGAUGCAGCAACGCCGCGUGAGUGAAGAAGGCCCUUGGGUCGUAAAGCUCUUUCGAUAGGGAAGAAGGGCUUCAUAGUAAAUAACUAUGCGGUCUGACGGUACCUGAAUAAGAAGCACCGGCUAAUUUCGUGCCAGCAGCCGCGGUAAUACGAAAGGUGCAAGCGUUGUUCGGAAUCACUGGGCGUAAAGCGCACGUAGGCGGGUUCGUGUGUCGAUUGUGAAAGCCCUAGGCUCAACCUGGGAAUGGCAGUCGAAACUGCGGAUCUUGAAUACCUGAGAGGGUGGGGGAAUUCCUGGUGGAGAAGUGAAAUUCGUAGAUAUCAGGAGGAACAUCAGAGGCGAAGGCGCCUACCUGGCAGGCUAUUGACGCUGAGGUGCGAAAGUGCGGGGAGCAAACAGGAUUAGAUACCCUGGUAGUCCGCACCGUAAACGAUGGAUACUAGGUGUUCGGAGCAUUAACCCUCUGAGUACCGUAGCACACGCAUUAAGUAUCCCGCCUGGGGAGUACGGUCGCAAGGCUAAAACUCAAAGGAAUUGACGGGGGCCCGCACAAGCGGUGGAGUAUGUGGUUUAACUCGAAGCAACGCGCAGAACCUUACCUGGUCUUGACAUCCCGUGACAUCUGCAGAGAUGCAGCUUCCCUUUCGGGGGCACGGAGACAGGUGCUGCAUGGCUGUCGUCAGCUCGUGUUGUGAAAUGUUCGGUUAAGUCCGGCAACGAGCGCAACCCCUGUCCUUAGUUACCAUCAUUAAGUUGGGGACUCUAGGGAGACUGCCGGUGUUAAACCGGAGGAAGGCGGGGAUGACGUCAAGUCCUCAUGGCCCUUACGACCAGGGCUACACACGUACUACAAUGGUAGAAACAGUCCGUCGCGAAGCCGCAAGGUGGAGCUAAUCGGAAAAACACUAUCUCAGUCCGGAUUGAAGUCUGCAACUCGACUUCAUGAAGUUGGAAUCGCUAGUAAUCGGAGAUCAGCACGCUCCGGUAAAUACGUUCCCGGGCCU
rnacentral:rRNA from 1 species